AAUAAAAUAAGCUAAUUUAAAAGCUAUUGGACUCAUAUUCCAAAAAUAAGGUUUCUUUUUUAUUG
rnacentral:tRNA from 1 species